ensembl:lncRNA
CCCAGAAGGAUAUUUUUUAAAUUGGCAAACAUCACUGCCUCCAGGGUGAAGAGUAGAGGACUAAGGAUCAGGAAUGGGGAGACCUCCCUCCCCAUAAGAUACAUUUUCAACACUGUAUAUAUAUGUUUUUAUCAUAUGCAUCUUUUAUUUUCUAAAACAUUUUUUAAAUUUAAUUUUACGUAUUUAUUUGGCUGGGCCAGGUCUUUGUUGUAGCGUGCAUGACCUUUCGUUGGGACAUGAUGGAUAUUUUUUUAAUUAUUAAUAGUUGCAGCAUAUGGGAUCUAGUUCUCCUAUAGUGAGUGAAAGUUGCUUAGUCGUGUCCAGUUCUUUUCGACCCCAUAGACCGUAGCCCACCAGGCUCCAGAUCAAACCCAGGCGCCCUGUAUUGGUAGCAUGGAGUCUUAACCACUGGACCACCAGGGAAGUCCCUCUAGAACAUUUUUUUUUACUUUAGCUUUGAACAGUUUCUGGUUUACAGAAAAAAAAAAAAAAAAAUGGGCAGAAAGUACAGAAUUCCCAUAAAUUCCCUCAGCUCCCACACCCCAUCACUGAUGUCACACACUUGUGUGGUGCGCCCUUCUUACAAUUGAUGAGCCAACAUUGAUAAGUGGUGAUGAAAGUUCACAGUUCACAUUAGAGUUCACUUGAUGUUAACUGUUCUGUGGGUUUUGACAAGUAUAAUAAUGUGUAUUUGCCCUUAUAUCACACAGAACAAUCUCACUGCCUUUUACAUCCCCUCUCCCCUAUCCAUUGAUCCUUUCUUCCCUGUAGGCUGGAGCAACCACUGAUCAUUCUACCAUUUUCAUAGUUUUGCCUUUUUUGUGUGUGUAUCUUUUUUUUGGCGGGCGGGGGGAGGGGGGGCGUGUCACGCAGCAUAAGAGAUCUUUGUUCCCUAGUUCAGUUCAGUCCCUCAGUCACGUCUGUCUCUUUGUGACCCCAUGGACUGCAGCACGCCAGGCUUCCCUGUCCAUCACCAACUCCCGGAGCCUACUCAAACUCAUGUCCACUGAGUCAGUGAUGCCAUCCAACCAUCUCAUCCUCUGUCACCCUCUUCUUCUCCUGCCUUCAAUUUUUCCCAGCAUCAGAGUCUUUUCCAGAGUCAGUUCUUUGCAUCAAGUGGCCAAAGUAUUGGAGUUUCAGCUUCAACAUCAGUCUUUCCAAUGAAUAUUCAGGGUUGAUUUCCUUUAGGAUGGACUGGUUGGAUCUCCUUGCAGUCCAAGGGACUCUCAAGAGUCUUCUCCAACACCACAGUUCAAAAGCAUCAAUUCUUCAGUGUUCAGCUUUCCUUAUGGUCCAACUCUCACAUCCAUACAUGACCACUGGAAAAACCAUAGCUUUGACCAGUGGACCUUUGUUGGUAAAGUAAUGUCUUUGCUUUUUAAUAUGCUGUCUAGGUUGGUCAUAGCUUUUCUUCCAAGGAGCAACCACCUUUUAAUUUUAUGGCUGCAGUCACCAUCUGCAGUGAUUUUGGAGCCCAAGAAAAUAAAAUCUGUCACUGUUUCUAUUGUUUCCCCAUCUAUUUGCCAUGAAGUGAUGGGACCAGAUAUCAUGAUCUUAGUUUUUUGAAUGUUGAGUUUUAAGCCAGCUUCUUCACUCUCCUCUUUCACUUUCAUAAAGAGGCUCUUUAGUUCUCCUUUGCUUUCUGCCAUAAGGGCGGGGUCAUCUGCGUAGCUGAGGUUAUUGAUAUUUCCCCCCAAAAUCUUGAUUCCAGCUUGUGCUUCAUCCAGCCCGGCAUUUCUCAUGAUGUACUCUACAUAUAAGUUAAAUAAGCGAGGUGACAAUAUACAGCCUUGACAUACUCCUUUCCUGAUUUGGAACCAGUCCAUUGUUCUAUGUCUGGUUCUAAUUGUUGCGUCUUGAUCUGCAUACAGAUUUCUCAGGAGGCAGGUCAAGUGGUCUGGUAUUCCCAUCUCUUGAAGAAUUUUCCACAGUUUGUUGUGAUCCACACAGUCAAAUGUCUGUGUUUCCUAAACAGGGAUCAAACCCAUGCCCCCUGCACUGGAAGCUCACAGUCUUAACAACUCGACUACCAGGUAAGUCCCACCGUGUGUAUCUUUAAUAAUUUUUCAAAAACCACUUUUAAGACACUGAAAAUAUUUUUUUAAAGUCUAUUCAAACUGAGUCUCAUAGGAGGGCCCACUCCAAACUGUCAUCAUAAGGAAAGUUAACAAUAUUGAACAAACCUAUACAAAUGUGUGUUGAGAAAGUUAUUAAAAAUAUAAAAGAACAUUUUCUGGAGAGCCUGUUCCUAAGGGAAAAGGGCUAUAUUGUGUCCCAAAAAACUUCCUUUCCCUCUGCCCCCUCUAAUGUUUAAAGAAUAAUUAGGUUGACAUAAUCAAGACAGUUCACAAAGCAGAGGUAUUUGCCAGUAUAUUAUCAAUUAAAAGUCAUAAAUAUGGGUGUCGUACCUCAAAGAGCCAGUUAGAGGCCUGGAGACAAAGAACUCCCAGAUUCUCAGAAUAGAGACAACACUCCAGAUGACAAUGCUUUUCCUGAGGGCACAUAGCCACUAUGUCAUCACUAUUGACUUUCUGUUAGCUACCGCCUGCCCUGAUGACCUGACACACCCCUGGUCCCCAGCUUAGCCCCAAUCCCUAUGUCAGAGAAAUUCUGGAGAUUAGCAUGGAGGUGAGGUUCUGGGACUGAAUAGACUGGCAAGGAUGAAGCUCUUGGUCUUUGUUUAUUCCUUAUUAUUGUUUUAAAAUUUUAUUUAUUUGGCUGCGCUGAGUCUCAGCUACGGCAUGCUGGAUAUUUUGUUGCUGCAUGUGGGAAUCUAGUUCCCCGACUAGGAAUCGAACCCAGGGUCUCUGCAUUGGGAGGAAGGAGAUCCACUGGACCACCAAGGAAGUCCCUCUUUCUCUUGGUUUAUUUGGUAAUAAAACAACUAAAAAAUAAGAGAUUUUUAAGGCUUUUUCUAGGCUUCAUUUUAAAGCCUGUAUCAAAUAUACUUCAAAAUGCCAAGUGCCCUCCCCCACUUAAUGGGAUCCCGGUACACCUGUGGCUCCAAGGAGAGGAAAUGGAAGUAGGCACAGGUGGAAGGGCCACUCAGUGCCACCUGUCUGGUGCGGCUCCCACAGUGCAUGUCCUAUCCUACACAAACCGGUUUCCUUGGAUUAAAUACAUUCGACCCAAACACAGCCAAUUCAUUCAUUUUGUAUUCCCUGUAGAGACUAUCAGAAUAUCUGGAUUUUCUAAAUCAAUGCCAGAUAGCAAUAUCAGAAUUAUCAGAAUGAAUCUUCUUGCUUGCUUCUAGUCACAGCCUGUGAUUUAAAAUGGUGGUGCUAUAAUUCUACCAUCUCCAUGGUCAUGGCAGUUCACCACCUCUAGGCUUAAAAGGUUUGUGUGUAGGGACUUCCCUGGUGGUCCAGUGGUUAAGACUCUGGACUUCCAAUUCAGGGGGCAUGGGAUCAAAGCAGGGAGACUGGUUCUCCAUAGCACCUUUCGUUAGUAAAUUUUCUGAAUUAAGAAAAGCAGCUGAGUCACCCUGAAGUCAAUGCUUAUAAAAAUCACCUGAUGAGUUUGUCUCUCUCAAAAGUUACAUCUCCUUUCUUGAUACUCACCCAAAAUGUAAUGCCCCUCAGCCAGAGAUUAUCCUAGGUUAGGAAGGGGCAUUAAAACAAAAACAAACGGGGUUCUGAUGUGAAUGGUCUAAAAGCCUCACUGAGUGAGUUUCAGUCAUUUUUAUUUUUACUUUUAUUUCUCUGUGGUCCACAUUUUUUUGGAGAAGAAACAGAAUUCCAAAGGGCAAUCUUAUUUAAAUAUUCAGAUACAUCACUGACUGCUUGUAAUGGAUACAUAACCUGUUUCUAGAAUUUCUGAAGCACUUCAGUACCUGAGCAGAUUUCAAUGAUAAAGAAGUGUUGGGGAAAACUAAGUGACCUGAGACCUGAGGUCCCAGCAAACAUUUGUGAGUGGCUACUAAAGCAACUAAACACGCCCUAUAGGCUCCGGGCUUCCCAGGUGGCUCAGUGGUAAAGAGUCCGCCUGCCAAACCAGGAAUCUCAAGUUCAAGGAGGGCAUGGUAACCCAUUCCAGUUUUCUUGCCUGGAGAAUCCCAAAGACAGAGGAGCCUGGCCAGUCCACGGGGUUGCAAAGAGUCAGACAUGACUAAACAACAACUUUAGGCCCAGCACCUGUUUUCACAAAUGCAUGCUCUCAGCUAUUCCCCCAGGAACCUCAUUUUCUAAAUGAGGAAGUGGCGGCUCAGAGAGCUUGUCCAAGUUCACAUAAAUACUAAGUAUGUGUUGCAUCAGUCAUAGAUUGAUCAAUUACUAUGUUUAAUUACUAGGUUUAAAGAGUGAAACAAGCAAGCAUGAAAUCACCUGUCUUUACAUUCAAUGGCAAAAAAAAAAACCUCUCGAAAAUGUUUUGAAAUGGUGGCUCUGUGAUCAUGACCCACAAUAACCUCUCCUGAAAGGGGGAAAUAACUUGGCUACUUGUGGUUAGAAAAUGCUGCCCCACCCUCAAAUUCAUACCUACCAAGUCAGUGAGCUCCCUGCUUACCGUGCCCACCUCCUGAGUCAUAUUAAUGUACCAGGGGCAGGAAGGAAGGGGAAUUCCUUUCCACACUUAAGUCUUAUUUCAGGAAUGAGUGACUCAGAUGCCAUUGACAGACUUCCUACCUAACAAACAGCCUUAUUAAGGAGUCAGUCUUUCAGCACAUAUUUAUGGGACUUGGGCUUCCAGAACCCCAAUUUUUAGCACAUGGCUAAAUUCUGGGUCCCAAGUCUGCAAACAAAAUCACCAGAAAGCUCUGGGGACAGAGAUUUGGCUUCUCUGAUCCUAGGCAUUUCUGUGAAUAAAAUAAGGAUUUUAACACCUACCAUGUAGAGAAGUUGUGAAGAAAUCAGACAAGAGGUCAUGAAGUUGACACCAGCAGUUCCGGGAUUGAUGGGAAUUCCUGCUGGACGGCCAGGAGGAAGGAAAGGGGAUUGUCAUGAACUGUUGUUGUCUGGUCAUGUUUGGCUCUUUUGCGACCCCAUGGACUGUAACCUGCCAGGCUCCUCUGUCCUUGAGAUUUUUCAGACUGAAGCCCGCUAGACUCCUCUGUUGAUGGGAUUCGACAGGCAAGAAUACUGGAGUGUGUUGCCAUCUCCUUUAGGAAGGUUAUAAAAUAUGGAGAUAACAGGAAGAGACGGCUUCUACCUCCAUGGUGAUGGCUCCUAACAUAUACAUAGCUAUAACAAAAUGAAAUCUGCUAAAUGGGCCUUAAGAAUAGCAACAAAAAAUUUACAAUAGCCAACACAUGGAAGCAACUUAGAUGUCCAUCAUGAGAUGAAUGGAUGUCCAACUUAGAUGUUCAUUGACAGAUGAAUGGAUGAAGAUACACACAUACAUAUAUAUAUAUAUAUAUUCCACUAUAUAUCUAUAUAAUGGAGUGUUACUUAGCCAUGAAAAAGAAUGAGGACUUCCCUGGUGGCCCAGUGGUUAAGACUCCACACUUCCAACACACAGAGUGUGGGUUUGAUCCCUGGUCGAGGAGCCAAGAUCCCACAUGCCACGUGGCACGGCCAAAAAAUAAAAAUAAAUAAAAUAACAUAAUAAAAU